GUUGGCUAGAUGGUUCCACCUGUUCCCAUUCCGAACACAGUAGUUAAGCAUCUAUACGCUGAAAGUACUUGGCUGGUGACGGCCUGGGAGGAUAAGGAAUUGCCG
rnacentral:rRNA from 1 species